GAUCCCUUAGCUCAGCGGUAGAGCGUCUGAUUCCAGUUAGAUACCUAAGUUUCCAGAAGGUCAUCCGUUCAAUCCGGGUAGGGGUCA